CCCGCGGUAUAUUUUAUGAUAGUACUUGUCCUCAAAUAAAUAUUUCCUUUUCCUAGUACAGAGAGUUUUAAUUAAAAUUCAUUCGGUGUAAUUAAAAGAUAUAUCAUGUUAUGGAGGGGUAUUUGCAAAAAAUACAAGUCUUGGGACAAAAUUUCCCUUGCCUAGCGGCUCGGGAAAUUUAAGUCCCUCGACUUGUAUUUUUCGCAAAUACCCCUCCAUAACAUGAUAUAUCUGUUCAUAAUUCUAUUGCAUUUUUAGUACGCACAAGGGGAAAUUGUUGUAAAACAAAUACAUUCUCAAUUUUAAAUACCUAAAAAGAUGAAUAAAAGAUGUGGACAUUAAUUCUAUAUGAGACAGUAACCCCAAAACACAAAACCUAUAGGCGUCCUAAGUUCACCUUUAAUCAAAGAGCUGAAAGCUCUGAAGAAAAAUGACGCCACUGUCUCUAAUAUUGGGAUAGUUUUUAUGCAAGUCUUGAUUUUCACAUACCGUAAUUAGUUUAACAAUGCAACAUGUCUCGUAAGCAUAUAAUUGAUAUUCGUAUAUGUGUGUGUGUGAAGUGAAGGUGCCAACUGGCUGGGUUUUUUUUUUUAAGACAAAUGAAUAGGUCAAGACUACCUGAAUUGUACAAAUAAAUCCCGUGGAAAGGCUUCUAUAUUUCUCACUGGUACAUAGGCUGAAUCCGGGUCCAUUCGCGCCCAUUCACGUUUGCGCCAACUCAUGUUCGCCCCCUUUCACUUUCACACCCUACAUGUUCGCAACUAAUCUUAAUUGGUUUUGUGUUUAAUAACUCUGUAAGCAAGUGUUUUCUUAUAUAAGUAUAAUUGUUGUCAUUGUCUCAAAAUAAAGUGAGACAGCAUUUUUUUUUGUGUUGAAUAAAUCUUAAUCAUGUUUUGGAUAGCGUAUUGUUAAAGAUAAUAAUAAUCCUUUCUAAAUAAAGUGGUAUUUUGUCAACGUUUUAUUUAGCGUUGAAUAACUCUUAAUCAUGUUUUGGUUAGUGUAUUGCUAUACUUUGUUUCAUUGACCUCUUUCAUAAUGAAGUGAGAUUCUGACUAUUUUUUUUUCUGUGUGUUGAAUAAAUUUUAUCAUGUUUUGGUUAUAAUAGUGGAUUGCUAUAUUUU
rnacentral:lncRNA from 1 species